rnacentral:rRNA from 1 species
CACAUGCAAGUCGAGGGGAAACGACAUCGAAAGCUUGCUUUUGAUGGGCGUCGACCGGCGCACGGGUGAGUAACGCGUAUCCAACCUGCCCACCACUUGGGGAUAACCUUGCGAAAGUAAGACUAAUACCCAAUGAUAUCUCUAGAAGACAUCUGAAAGAGAUUAAAGAUUUAUCGGUGAUGGAUGGGGAUGCGUCUGAUUAGCUUGUUGGCGGGGUAACGGCCCACCAAGGCGACGAUCAGUAGGGGUUCUGAGAGGAAGGUCCCCCACAUUGGAACUGAGACACGGUCCAAACUCCUACGGGAGGCAGCAGUGAGGAAUAUUGGUCAAUGGACGAGAGUCUGAACCAGCCAAGUAGCGUGCAGGAAGACGGCCCUAUGGGUUGUAAACUGCUUUUAUAAGGGAAUAAAGUGAGUCUCGUGAGACUUUUUGCAUGUACCUUAUGAAUAAGGACCGGCUAAUUCCGUGCCAGCAGCCGCGGUAAUACGGAAGGUCCGGGCGUUAUCCGGAUUUAUUGGGUUUAAAGGGAGCGUAGGCCGGAGAUUAAGCGUGUUGUGAAAUGUAGACGCUCAACGUCUGCACUGCAGCGCGAACUGGUCUUCUUGAGUACGCACAACGUGGGCGGAAUUCGUGGUGUAGCGGUGAAAUGCUUAGAUAUCACGAAGAACUCCGAUUGCGAAGGCAGCUCACGGGAGCGCAACUGACGCUGAAGCUCGAAAGUGCGGGUAUCGAACAGGAUUAGAUACCCUGGUAGUCCGCACGGUAAACGAUGGAUGCCCGCUGUUGGCCUGAAUAGGUCAGCGGCCAAGCGAAAGCAUUAAGCAUCCCACCUGGGGAGUACGCCGGCAACGGUGAAACUCAAAGGAAUUGACGGGGGCCCGCACAAGCGGAGGAACAUGUGGUUUAAUUCGAUGAUACGCGAGGAA